rnacentral:sRNA from 1 species
GGCGACUGCAGGACUUGGCCACUCAGCUGCAGGAGAAACACCACCGCAUCUCAUUGGAGUACUCCGAGCUCCAGGAUAAAGUGACAUCGGCAGAGACCAAGGUGCUGGAGAUGGAGACAACAGUGGAGGACUUGCAGUGGGACAUCGAGAAGCUGCGGAAGCGAGAGCAAAAGCUCAAUAAGCACCUGGCAGAGGCCUUAGAGCAGCUUAACUCUGGCUACUAUGUAUCUGGGAGCUCCUCAGGCUUCCAGGGGGGCCAGAUCACACUCAGCAUGCAGAAGUUUGAGAUGCUGAAUGCAGAGUUAGAGGAAAACCAGGAACUGGCCAACAGCCGCAUGGCAGAGCUGGAGAAACUGCAGGCCGAACUUCAGGGGGCUGUGCGGACCAAUGAGCGCCUCAAGGUGGCCCUGCGGAGCCUUCCUGAGGAGGUAGUGCGGGAGACGGGGGAGUACCGCAUGCUGCAGGCCCAAUUCUCACUGCUCUACAACGAGUCUCUGCAAGUGAAGACCCAGCUAGACGAGGCUCGGGGCCUGCUACUGGCCACAAAGAACUCCCACCUGCGACACAUCGAGCACAUGGAGGUAUGGCCCUGGAACAGGCGUUAGGGCUGGGCUAAGGGCCAAACCGUUAGUGUUGACGUGUUUGUGCCUUCCGAGGCCCUGUGUGCCAGCCAGGGGUCCCUGGGGAAUAGAUUCUUCCUAAGAUACUGAGUCCUGAGGUGGGACCGAGGGGCUGUGUGGGUCCUUAACACAUCAACCCACAGAGCGACGAGCUGGGGCUGCAGAAGAAGCUACGCACAGAGGUCAUU